CCAUCGCCCAACUCCUGCCUGCCCUGCCCUGUAGCUCUCCGUCCCCAUCGUCUACCUCGCUACCUCUUGCAUGUCGUUGCCUUGGCACCUUGCGACCUCCUCCCAUCAAAUCCAUGGCGUUAUAAACCCCGGCCCCCUCUUCUCCACCGUACCCCUAGCUACCACAACACCAUGCUGCAUGCAUCAUGUAUCAGGAAGCCAGCCGCAUCAGCAGUAUAAAUAAUUCUCUCUCAGUGAUUAGCUAGCAGGCUGCCUAGCAGCAGGCUCCUUCUUCCUCGGUUCUUCUUCAUUCAGGAAGCUAGUGGAGGACUCCAAAGGGAUCGCAUUGAUCUCACCAUCCGCCGCCGCCGCCGGCACGCACAGCUGCGCGCAAGGACAGGAUCAGUGCAAUCCCUUUGGAAUUUUCCACUUGCGCCUCCGUCCGCACGCACGCCCUCGGUACCCGCGCCGCCGCCGUAAAUCUCCUCGAUCGCCGAGCCUGCGACCCAACCCGAGGCAUGCAAGAACGGCUCAGAUUUGGAGGAGGAUACUAGACAUUGCUCACCGCCGGUAGGGUUCCAGGCUUCCAGCAGGCCCUCUGUUAAGGACGACGACGAAUUGAAGCUGUGCGCUUCUCGCUGGUCUCCCAUCCUGGGCUUGAUAUGAUGAUGAUGCUUUAAUUUCCUCGUGAGCCUUGAGAGAAGUACUGCUUGUUUGGGAAAAUUUGGGAGGACAGGACCGGAAGAACACACAAUUCCUUUGCAACUUGCAAGAUCCUCGUUGUGCAAACUUAAUUUGCAGUGGGUGGGUCGGAUGACAACGAAGUGCAAGUGGUGAGAAAAGGAAAGGAAACGAAACGAGAUAGUGGGGAUCGAUGAAACGUGGAGAAUCGGUUUUGCAUGAACUUUGCACGAAUUAAAAUAAAAUUCUUAAGCACAUGCAUGUUGCCAAUUCGCAUCUUCAGUCUUUUAUUCCCCCGGGCCCUUUUCUUGUUGGGCUAGCUAGCUGCUGCCUACUGAUGAUCAUCUGCUAUUCUCUCUCUCUCUCUCUCUCUCUCUCUCUCUCUCUCUCUCUCUCUCUCUCUCUCUCUCUCUCUCUCUCUCUCUCUCUCUCUCUCUCUCUCUCUUCCAGAACACGUUUAUUUAGGCCAGUCGUGCCACCUGCCUAAAGUAAUUUUUUUUUCCUUCCCUACGCCUGUACGCCGAACAACAGAACGGGUUUUGCGCGAAUCAGACCAAUUUCAGAUGAAGGUGAAAAAAUGAGCAUACAAAGGAUGAGUCAACAGUACAUGAAGACGUAUAAAUGAAGGAUCCUGCUUCCUAUUAGCUAGCUGCACUAUAUUAUUCGGAAAAGAAAAGGGAAUGGCAGGUGAGUGGAUGUAUAUAUAUACAACCCAGGUGCCUUGCCUUCUGAACAUAAAUUGGAUCUGUUUGGAUGGACUAAUGUUAAAUGCUAAACUUAUUAGCCCUUAUAUAUUUGCUAAAGUUUUUGAGUUCCGGCAAAAACGUUUAGCCGAGUUUAGCCGACAUUAUCAGCUAGCAUUCCUAUCUGGAUGGACUAGUGCUAAACCUUAGCACUCUAGGGCAUUAGUAUUUGAACCGAAACAUCCCUAAAUACUGGAGUAAUUAUUCGAUGUUGUUCAUUAUCAUACUAAUAACAUGGUUAAUAUGCGUAUAUGUAAUUUGUGCAUGCAGAGAAAGAUGUGGCAUGCAGUGGGGCUCUUUAAUUAUUUCUCUUUGCCAGUUAGGGUAAAAGAUGCAAGCAAAGCCCAGACAGGUUGCAUUUAUGAGGAUUGAAUAUGCCGGCAGGCUGCAGCUCUAGGAUCUCUCGGCUCUAGUAUGGAAUCUUGCUUGCUUCGAAAUAUAUGCAUGAUCUCUUCUCUGUGUCCUUUCUCCUUUGUCCAAAUAUAUACCAAACAUAUUCCUCAGACACUGCUGCUGCUUAAUUUAUUUUUCUUUAUUUCCUGCACGUUUCUCGCCGAUCGAUGGGAUGUAUGACACGCGGAUGAUCAUUUCAUGCUUUUAUUGUACACUGCACUGCACACACGGUGAUGACCGAAUCUGAAACCAAAUCAGUAAUUACCUGGAGGCGGAGGAGCUGUACGUACACUGCAGCAGGUAGACAUGAACAACAGCUAGCAGCGCUCGCUGUGCAUGGUGUCGAGACAGAAUUGAGCAGGCAAUAAGCGACAAGGGGAUAAGUUGUGUGCAU